GGAUCCAGACUUUGAUCCUGGCUCAGGAUGAACGCUAGCUACAGGCUUAACACAUGCAAGUCGAGGGGCAGCAUUUUAGUUUGCUUGCAAACUGAAGAUGGCGACCGGCGCACGGGUGAGUAACACGUAUCCAACCUGCCGAUGACUCCGGGAUAGCCUUUCGAAAGAAAGAUUAAUACCGGAUAGCAUACGAAUAUCGCAUGAUAUUUUUAUUAAAGAAUUUCGGUUAUCGAUGGGGAUGCGUUCCAUUAGUUUGUUGGCGGGGUAACGGCCCACCAAGACUACUAUGGAUAGGGGUUCUGAGAGGAAGGUCCCCCACAUUGGAACUGAUACACGGUCCAAACUCCUACCGGAGGCAGCAGUGAGGAAUAUAGGUCAAUGGGCGCGAGCCUGAACCAGCCAAGUAGCGUGAAGGAUGAAGGCUCUAUGGGUCGUAAACUUCUUUUAUAUGGGAAUAAAGUUUUCCACGUGUGGAAUUUUGUAUGUACCAUAUGAAUAAGGAUCGGCUAACUCCGUGCCAGCAGCCGCGGUAAUACAGAGGAUCC
rnacentral:rRNA from 1 species